UUCGGUGGCGAUGGCAAAGGGGGUACACCUGUUCCCAUCCCGAACACAGAAGUUAAGUCCUUUAGCGCCGAUGGUACUGCGUGGGUAGCUGCGUGGGAGAGUAGGUCGCCGCCGAUU
rnacentral:rRNA from 1 species